rnacentral:lncRNA from 1 species
UUCCAAAAAGCGAUAUAAACCACCUCCACCUCCCUUGCCGGUUCCUCCAGGUCACGUCUCUGCCAUGCCUCCCGCAUCGGUGGUAAGAUCUAUUUCAGCAGGGGCAUCCUCACAGAUGUAAAGGUCUCGAGUUUGAGUUUAUUGGGAGCAUUUAGGUGGAUUCGGGUUUCGGAUUAUAGGUAUUCCAAAUCAAUCUCUUGGCUUUCGAUUUUCUGCUGCUUCUGCUUCUGCUUCGAGGAAGGUGAUACAGAAACAGAGAUGAAGAGACCUAUUUCUUAUUUCUUACUCAAAUGAUUUAAUUUCUGGUCCUCGAUUAAUAUUCUAUUCAUUUUGAAUUGUUAUUGUUAAAUUUGGGUUCAGAAAAAAGCUUUCCUUCAAAGAUGAAGCAUAUUUAUGUGGCUAAACAGACUGCUAGUGGAACACCAAUGGCUUCAUGAACAGAAUAUUAAAUGGAUUUCUGGUUUUAGAAGUAGAAAGCAGCAGAGACUGAAGCAUCUUUCCAGUGAAAAUUUUGUUUUUGUUUUUGUUCUAAUUUUUUUCCCAAACAAAAAUUUUGGGAAGGGGGAAGUUUGAGAUUUAGAUCUCUGAAUUGACAUGCCAGUCUUUCAGGGUAAAUUUGAUAGAGCGGGUUGAGCACGUCCAUUCUGUAUCUUGUUAUCGGGUGUAGUUUGCUGGUUGGCUCGAUUAUGUUAUUUCCAAAUAUUUGUGUGCUAGCUAGGAUUAAUAUUAUAUGACACAUGCUUGGAAUGGAACUAGUAAUUGCACUUUCUCUUUGAUUCCUUUAAUGUCGAAGUAUUUCUUCCUUUUGCUGCUUUAUAUACGUCUUGCGUUGUCGAGGCUUGUGGUUGAGGAAUUGGCUCUCUUCCAUUCCAUCUCGAGAUUUUGUGAGUCGUUUUUUCUUUUUUUUUUUUUUUCUUAAGUUUUGCCUUUUAUGCUUUCUAUAUAUCAUAUAUAUAUAUAU